rnacentral:tRNA from 1 species
CAGUAAAUAGUUUAUAAAAAUGUUAAUUUUGGAGAUUAAUGAUAAGCAUAAAGUGCUUUUUACUGA